CAGACAAGAAAACGACCAGGGAAGGCACACAGCCCUGUGGGGAGGCGUUGGGGCGUGAGGUUGAGAGAGACAGAGUGGCCUGGCCUGGCCUGCCCUGUGAGCUGGGUGAGUUGGUACUGAUUCUGGAAGAUGGACGUGAAUGGGCGUGGUCACUUGUCGCUAGACUCUGGGAAACGCUGCUGCUGUUUGACAUCGCACAGUCAGAAGGGAUCGUCUCAGCCAGCCUGCAGCAUCUGUCACUUUGACCAUGAGACGCUGCCUCGAUUUCCAAUCCAGGUGCAAAGCUUCAGAUAGGAGUUUGGGAAGCACAGCAAUCCCCAUCUCUAUUUUUUUCAACUUUCAUUCCAAGAAAUAGGACCUUGAGUCCAAUUCCCAGAGCUGACACUUGAGGUCCAACUCUGCCCUCACCUGCACCCGGCCCUGGAGGUCUGGGCCCCUUUAUUCCAGCUCCCGCACAGGCUGAUGCCCCACCGCACCCCAGGGCUCCGCUCCCCAAAUCACAACCUCCCCACCCCCACGCCUCCCUCAUUACAGGGUCCCCCACCAUGUUUCCCUUUUUUUUUUUUUUUUAACCUCCCCACCAAUUACUUGCCCCACCUCAUCCGCGUCUACCUGCUCCCCCUCACCCCAUUAAAGCCUCGUGCUCCUUUCCAAAGGGCGCCAUCCUCCUCCGCGCCCUGCAGCGGAACCCCAGGGCGGGAAGAGCGGCGCCGAGUCGGACCGGCUGCAGGCCAGUGGUCUUCCCGGAAGUGCGCCUCCCCCGGUUAUUUCACAGACCCCGGCGCGGGGCUGCGAACCCACCUGCCCCAGAGCGGCUGCGGCCAUGAUCCGUGCGGCGCGUAACUGUGCCCGCCCGGGGCGCGGCCCCGAAGAGAGACGUUCCGGCCACGCCCCGCUCACGCCUCCUUCUGGGGGAAGGCGGCCGACCAGCGCCCCAGGCCGUCCCAGCUCCAGGGCGUCGGCAGGGAGCCAGACACUGCUGCGGGGCGCAGGCGCUGGUGGGAGGGCAGGACUUGAAAUACGGUCCCUGCCAGGCGAAGUGGCUCAGGUCUGUAAUCUUAGCACUUUGGGAGGCCGAAGCGGGCGGAUUACCUGAGGUCAGGAGUUAGAGACCAGCCUGGUCCAACAUGAUGAAACCCCGUCUCUACUAAAAAUACAAAAAAUUAGCCGGGCGUGGUGGCGGGCGCCUGUAAUCUUAGCUACUCGGAAAGCUGAGGCAGGAGAAUUGCUUGAAUCGGGGAGGCAGAGGUUGCAGUGAGCCGAGAUGAUGCCACUGCACUCCAGCCUGGGCGACAGAGUGAGACUCCGUCUCAAAAAAAAAAAAAAAAAAAAAAAAAAAGGCCUGGCUUGGUGGCUCACACCUGUAAUCCCAGCAUUUUGGGAGGCCGAGGCGGGCGGAUCACCUGAGGUCAAGAGUUCGAGACCAGCCUGACCAACAUGGUGAAACCCCGCCCUACUAAAAAUACAAAAAUUAGCUGGGAGUGGUGGUAGACGCCUGUAGUCCCAGCUACUCGGGAGGCUGAGGUAGAAGAAUUGCUUGAACCCGGGAGGCCGAGGUUGCGGUGAGCCGAGAUGGCGCCAUUGCACUCCAGCCUGAGCAACAAGAGCAGAACUCCGUCUCAAAGAAAAAAAAAAGAAAAGAAAAAAAAGAAAAAAGAAAUACGGUCCCCACCCAGGCUGUGUUCCAGCCACACUCAAGCCAGGUACUAAUGUGCAUGCAACGGUUUUCAAAAAAGCAUUUCCUUGGGAGCAAAAAUGCAUUUUUUGUCGCGGAUCGCUGGCAAGCAUAAGCAGCACGAGGUAAAGAAAGGGAAAGGCAAGGAGCAGGACAUUCCGUGUAUCACGUUCCCUUAGCGACGCGGACACCACGUCAAUGCACAGGAACGGGAAUGGUGCUUUGGAGAAGGGCUUCUGAAGAGGGCCGCAGGUAGGGAUAAAGGGCAGCCUCACUUUGCAGCCUGGAUACUGCCCUGUUCCAGUAUUUUUUCCUAUCAACGAAAAAGAUGUAUGUGUAGCCCAGGCUGGAGGGCAGUGGCGCGAUCUCGGCUCACUGCAACCUCCGCCUCCCGGGUUCAAGCAGUUCUCCUGCCUCAGCCUCCUGAGUAGCUGG
rnacentral:lncRNA from 1 species